AUGAACGCUAGCUACAGGCUUAACACAUGCAAGUCGAGGGGCAGCAUGGUCUUAGCUUGCUAAGGCCGAUGGCGACCGGCGCACGGGUGAGUAACGCGUAUCCAACCUGCCUUACACUCUUGGACAGCCUUCUGAAAGGGAGAUUAAUACAAGAUGUUAUCAUGAGUAAGCAUUUUCGCAUGAUUAAAGGUUUACCGGUGUAAGAUGGGGAUGCGUUCCAUUAGAUAGUAGGCGGGGUAACGGCCCACCUAGUCUUCGAUGGAUAGGGGUUCUGAGAGGAAGGUCCCCCACAUUGGAACUGAGACACGGUCCAAACUCCUACGGGAGGCAGCAGUGAGGAAUAUUGGUCAAUGGACGAAAGUCUGAACCAGCCAAGUAGCGUGAAGGAUGAAGGUUCUAUGGAUUGUAAACUUCUUUUAUACGGGAAUAAACGGAUCCACGUGUGGAUUUUUGCAUGUACCGUAUGAAUAAGGAUCGGCUAACUCCGUGCCAGCAGCCGCGGUAAUACGGAGGAUCCGAGCGUUAUCCGGAUUUAUUGGGUUUAAAGGGAGCGUAGAUGGGUUGUUAAGUCAGUUGUGAAAGUUUGCGGCUCAACCGUAAAAUUGCAAUUGAUACUGGCAGUCUUGAGUACAGUUGAGGUAGGCGGAAUUCGUGGUGUAGCGGUGAAAUGCUUAGAUAUCACGAAGAACUCCGAUUGCGAAGGCAGCUUACUAACCUGUAACUGACAUUGAUGCUCGAAAGUGUGGGUAUCAAACAGGAUUAGAUACCCUGGUAGUCCACACGGUAAACGAUGAAUACUCGCUGUAGGCGAUAUACAGUCUGCGGCCAAGCGAAAGCAUUAAGUAUUCCACCUGGGGAGUACGCCGGCAACGGUGAAACUCAAAGGAAUUGACGGGGGCCCGCACAAGCGGAGGAACAUGUGGUUUAAUUCGAUGAUACGCGAGGAACCUUACCCGGGCUUAAAUUGCAACCGAAUAUGGCGGAAACGCUAUAGCUAGCAAUAGCGGUUGUGAAGGUGCUGCAUGGUUGUCGUCAGCUCGUGCCGUGAGGUGUCGGCUUAAGUGCCAUAACGAGCGCAACCCUUGCCGAUAGUUACUAACAGGUUAUGCUGAGGACUCUGUCGGGACUGCCAUCGUAAGAUGUGAGGAAGGUGGGGAUGACGUCAAAUCAGCACGGCCCUUACGUCCGGGGCUACACACGUGUUACAAUGGGGGGUACAGAGGGCUGCUACCACGCAAGUGGAUGCCAAUCCCAAAAACCUCUCUCAGUUCGGAUUGAAGUCUGCAACCCGACUUCAUGAAGCUGGAUUCGCUAGUAAUCGCGCAUCAGCCACGGCGCGGUGAAUACGUUCCCGGGCCUUGUACACACCGCCCGUCAAGCCAUGGGAGCCGGGGGUACCUGAAGUGCGUAACCGCAAGGAGCGCCCUAGGGUAAAACUGGUGACUGGGGCU
rnacentral:rRNA from 1 species